rnacentral:rRNA from 1 species
AAUGAACGCUGGCGGCAGGCCUAACACAUGCAAGUCGAACGGGCACUUUCGGGUGCUAGUGGCGGACGGGUGAGUAACGCGUGGGAACAUACCCAAAGGUACGGAAUAGCCUCUGGAAACGGAGAGUAAUACCGUAUGUGCCCUUCGGGGGAAAGAUUUAUCGCCUUUGGAUUGGCCCGCGUUGGAUUAGGUAGUUGGUGGGGUAAUGGCCUACCAAGCCGACGAUCCAUAGCUGGUUUGAGAGGAUGAUCAGCCACACUGGGACUGAGACACGGCCCAGACUCCUACGGGAGGCAG